GGCUGCCGACUCCAGCACGCGGAGCGCGGGUUAGAGGCACCCCAGCGGGCAGGCUGUCCCCAACAUUGCAGGACGUGUUAGCCACAGUGUGGGGCUUGCGGCACGACAGGCGGAGCGAGCCUCAGGCACGAGUCACCUUUUGUAUCGUCCAGCAGGUGGGACGGCGUUUUAAAUUGUGAAGCACAUGGGAUGCUUUUCAAAAUAAUUGUGUUUGGAAUCCCGCAGAGAAAGUUCUAAAGAAGUUGGAGCCAUCUGAAAUACAAACUUGCUCAUUCAGCAAACACUGGCAGAUGAGGAGUCCUUGGGGAACAGAAGGGGAUCUGCAGUGUUGUAUCUCCCAUCCAACCUGGCAUAGCCUUUUACAGCAGUAUACAGACUGAAUCCAAGUGACAACGUCUGCUGCGGCAUUCCUGCUCUAAUCAUCAGGAGCGGAGAAGAUAAGGUGAAGCCAAUAAAAUGUAUGGACAGAAGAACGAUGAAUUAAGGACAACUGAGAAUUUCCGUCCAAUAAACUAAGCUGACUCCAAAAGAGGCAGCUCCUGAACUGGAAGGAAACUCUAAAAAGAUGAAUUUUGCCUCAAAGCAGCGUUUCGAGAAGAAUAAUGAAUUAAGGACGAUUGAGAAUUUCUGUGCAAUAGACUAAGCUGACUCAAGAAAAGGCAGCUUCUGAACUGGAAGGAAACUCUAAAAAGAUGAAUUGUGCCUUAAUGCAGCGUUUCGAGGGCUCCUUGGAAAGACAGAGAUACUCGGGGAAACCAGAGUCAAGUAAAUCUCAUGCAUUUCUGGAAGCAGACCAGUGAAGAAGCAGAAAAUUGCUAGCCUUUCCCUUUUAACUCAGAAGCAACUGAACAAUUUAAAGGAAGAUAAAGCGUGGGGAUGAAAUUAUCAAAUGCCUCGCUAGGUAUCAGUUCAGAAAAUAAGACAAUCUAAUUUCAGGAAAAGUUACCUCUUGAUCAAAAUCCUUACAGAGGUUUGGGCUAUUUACAUUUAUAGAGAAAGCUGGUAAAUAAGCAUUUGUUAAGGUCACCAUCAUAUUCUGCAAAUGUUAUGUGUUACAUAACAUCACAGAGUGGAGACUGGUUAGGACACACGAAGAGCAGAUUAAACAAGUCCUCGAUGCUUCGAGACUGGAUCACUUUCAAGGAGCCAACAUCCGUGCAGACAUGAAGGUUCCCGCAAGCUUGGCCAUCCAGAGGUAGCAGCGCAUAUUUGAACAAGAGAACCUCAAUCUCAAGAUUCAUCCACAAAGAGAUGCCAUCACAGAGAAGGUGUACAUGAAGAAACCUUUGAAGAGAGGGGGUGGGGAAACAGUUUGCUUGGCAGGCAGGGAUGGAGGGAUAAGGGUGCUCAAGCAAAGGCUGUCUAGCCAUCACGUGGAAACGCUAGAUCACAAAAGGAGUCAUGGCGUCGGAUGGAUCACGUUACUAGAGGUCUACAGCUUUCUUCAGGGCUGAGCUUCUCAGAGUAAAAACUUUCAUGGCUCUUCAAGUUGAAAAGAAAAAAGUCAGAUGCUUGCCUCUAAGGAAUAAUUUGGAGUGAGAAUCAUGGGAGGGUCCCUUGUAUACGGCUACUGCCAAGAAGGAAGCUAUAGGUGGAGAUGAGAAGCAGGACAGUUUGAACCUUGGUUGGAGGAUGGGACCUGGUAAACUGUGUUUUUCAGUUAACUGUGCUAUUCUCAGAAGGACCCGGUAAGCUGUGUUUUUCUGUGUCAACUGGAUCAGCUUAGACCUGAAGAAUGCCAGCAAUUUUCAUCUUCCCACAUGGCCAAUCUAUAAUAAUUAGUUUUACUACUUUUUUCACAAGCUAUUACUUUAAUUAUUUUAAUUAGAUUGUUCAUGCACUCAAGUUGUUUACAAGCACUUUCCUUUUCAUAGCGCAUCAAUAAACAGAAGAAGGGAAACUACCAGCUUGGAGGAAGCCAAGUUUUUAUCAGGUAGGCGGUGGCCGAGAGCAUGGAGGUGCUUCUCCUACUCUAAUCUGGGGACCACCCAGCAGGCGGACCUCCUUACAGAGGAGGCGAGUCUGUUCCAUUGGGCGGACUAGGUCACGUGGGCAUCCUCUGUGGUCUCCGCCCCUUCAGUCAAAGCAACACAGAGCAAAUAACCCGUUUUCUCAGUGUUCCUCCGACAACCACCACCGCAGAGUACAUACUACAGGCUAUGGAUGGCUAACAGUAGGCUUUUAUUAAAAUUCCGCAGACUUGGCCUGUCUCAGUUAUUUGGUUUGAGUUCUGGUUCCACCCCUUACCGGUGUGUGACCUUGAGAGAGUAACUUCUCAAAUUCUCGAUUUGCCUCUCUGUCAAAGGAAGGCAAAAGCACCAAACCGGUCGAAUUCUUUUGACUGCUAAAUGAGUUUGCUUUGGGCGGGUGCUCACACCGCGUCAGCAUAGAGCAGUCAUUGGCCCUCAUCCCUUCCCUCUGGCCUUCUUCUUUCUUUUCUCUUCUGCUCUUCCCAUCUCAGCCUGACAAAAUUGAGACUUGGGGCUCCAGACUUCAGGAUUAUUUCUUACUUCAUUACUGUUCUUAAGCCUGUACUUCAUGUAAAUAUAAAAGAGAGAAAGUGAAAUAACGAUUUCCAAGGAAUUACCACAAUUUGAAUAGUCCUAUUGGGACAGCCGAAAGACCUCAAGUUCCUUUUCUUCGGGGUCGUUACCUCCUGCACUCAAAAGUUUUGCGCAGCCUCCCUCUGGAACGUGUGUCCGGCAGCAGCCGGGUCUUCGCACCUCCUGGAAUAGACCAGCAGUGGUGGGGGCGGGAAGGGGGUGUGCAAUGCGGGUGCAAGAAGCUCCUUAGGCUCCACCCACAGCCUCAGAGUAUUGGUCCUUCUGGGGGAGGAGAGAGGGACUGAGGCAGAAGACCCUGCGUGCCAUUAAUUUUUGUGAUCUAAAAUCCUACUUUGAGCUUUUCUUUAGCAAAACCCAGCACUCCAGAAAGCCCUGUUGCUGUACUCCCAGAGCUGUCUCUCUUUUGCUCAUCUGUAAACUUGGAAGAGAAGUCACCAAGGCAGCUCCGCCUUCACCAUAAUCUGUCAAAGUAGGGAACUGGGACUCUUUACAGCAGAUCCCAGGAACCCUAUAUUUUGCCCUAUGCAAUGAGGCUGCUAAAUCCCCACCAGUGAAGCGUAACUUAAAACAAAACAAAACAAAACUGUCUUUAAAUAUUUAAUAGAUUAACAGAAACACAUUUUUUUCUCCAGGAGUUCUUCUAUGGCUAGGAUUUAGAACUAAGAAGGAAAAGAUUUGGUGUAUGUUGAAUUGAGAUGUUGUACUUGACCCCUUUUGUUGUAUUUUUGUUCCAAUUAAAUGUAAUUAUGUACUAUUUUGGUUUAAUUUAAACAACCAAAGGAGGAACUGACCACUCAGGUUUUCAAAAGGAAUCUUUGGGCACCAUCUUGUGACUAUUUAUGGUACAAUAAAACCAAAAGCAGCUCUCUGAAGUUUUAAAAGCGUACUUCUGGAACUCUCUAGUGGCGUAUCAUGGAACUGAGAAAAACAACAGGUAAUGAAUAAUGCUUCUCCUCCCAGAUAUUGUGAAGACUUUGGCUCCUUCUGCUGUUAUAACUUAGUGAUUUGCUGAAGAAUCAGUGCAGUCACACUUUAUUAAUCUCUUUGUGUAAAUUUCAAACACAUACAAGAAAUAACAAUAAAGUCUCAUUUUAAUCUCAAAGAUGGAAAAAAAGGGGAAUCUCUCCAACAUUUUAACAUUUGUUAAGAACCCCCAAAUUUUAAAGCUGGUCAGUCAGGGGUGCCUAGGUGGCUUAGUGGGUUAAGUGGCUGCCUGGGGUUCUGGGAUUGAG